rnacentral:rRNA from 1 species
AGAGUUUGAUCCUGGCUCAGAUUGAACGCUGGCGGCAUGCUUUACACAUGCAAGUCGAACGGGGUGAGGGGGCAACCUCUCAUCUAGUGGCGAACGGGUGAGUAAUGCAUCGGAACGUGUCCCGUAGUGGGGGAUAACCCGGCGAAAGCCGGACUAAUACCGCAUAUGCUCUACGGAGGAAAGUGGGGGAUCCGCAAGGACCUCACGCUAUGGGAGCGGCCGAUGUCCGAUUAGCUUGUUGGUGGGGUAAUGGCCUACCAAGGCGACGAUCGGUAGCUGGUCUGAGAGGAUGAUCAGCCACACUGGGACUGAGACACGGCCCAGACUCCUACGGGAGGCAGCAGUGGGGAAUUUUGGACAAUGGGGGCAACCCUGAUCCAGCCAUGCCGCGUGCGGGAAGAAGGCCUUCGGGUUGUAAACCGCUUUUAGUCGGGAAGAAAAGGCGCGGGUGAAUACCCCGCGUUUUUGACGGUACCGGCGGAAUAAGCACCGGCUAACUACGUGCCAGCCGCCGCGGUAAUAC